rfam:Tulasnella calospora MTT 4182 unplaced genomic scaffold scaffold_298, whole genome shotgun sequence.
GCCGUCAUAGCUCAGUUGGGAGAGCGACAGACUGAAGCUUAUGUAAUCACGAUUACGUAAUCAACCUUCUGCAGGUCACCCGUUCGAUCCGGGUUGACGGCA